AGCGAACGCUGGCGGCAGGCCUAACACAUGCAAGUCGAACGAAGUCUUCGGACUUAGUGGCGGACGGGUGAGUAACACGUGGGAACGUGCCUUUAGGUUCGGAAUAACUCAGGGAAACUUGUGCUGAUACCGAAUGUGCCCUUCGGGGGAAAGAUUUAUCGCCUUUAGAGCGGCCCGCGUCUGAUUAGCUAGUUGUGAGGUAAAGGCUCACCAAGGCUACGAUCAGUAGCUGGUCUGAGAGGAUGACCAGCCACAUUGGGACUAAGACACGGCCCAAACUCCUACGGGAGGCAGCAGUGGGGAAUCUUGCGCAAUGGGCGAAAGCCUGACGCAGCCAUGCCGCGUGGAUGAUGAAGGUCUUAGGAUUGUAAAAUCCUUUCACCGGUGAAGAUAAUGACUGUAGCCGGAGAAGAAGCCCCGGCUAACUUCGUGCCAGCAGCCGCAGUAACAC
rnacentral:rRNA from 1 species